rnacentral:rRNA from 1 species
UAGGGAAUCUUCGGCAAUGGGGGGAACCCUGACCGAGCAACGCCGCGUGAGUGAAGAAGGUUUUCGGAUCGUAAAGCUCUGUUGUUAAGGAAGAACGAGUGUGAGAAUGGAAAGUUCAUGCUGUGACGGUACUUAACCAGAAAGGGACGGCUAACUACGUGCCAGCAGCCGCGGUAAUACGUAGGUCCCGAGCGUUGUCCGGAUUUAUUGGGCGUAAAGCGAGCGCAGGCGGUUAGAAAAGUCUGAAGUGAAAGGCAGUGGCUCAACCAUUGUAGGCUUUGGAAACUGUUUAACUUGAGUGCAGAAGGGGAAAGUGGAAUUCCAUGUGUAGCGGUGAAAUGCGUAGAUUUAUGGAGGAACACCGGUGGCGAAAGCGGCUCUCUGGUCUGUAACUGACGCUGAGGCUCGAAAGCGUGGGGAGCGAACAGG